AAAAGAGCAAGAAAGGGGAAAAAAAAGAGAGGACAAACACACUACGCCUAGUGCUUGUCAAAUCUUAAUUGAAACAUGAAAUGAAGAGUAAGGAAGAAAUAGAAGGCAUAAGGAAGAAAUGGAAGCACUGCUUUCUCUUCAGUCUUCAGUCUUUACUUUCUGCUUACAAAGUACAAACCUAGCUCUGUUCUAUCAUCACUCAGCACUAUCAAAUCGAGAUCUAUUCUGUCGGAAAGUUAGUCGCCGUUGAUUAUCGCCGUUUCCGGUACUCCUAAUUUCUUUCUUCAACUUUUUUUUUCUCUUCUAUUUGAAGGAAUGCUUUCUGUGCAAAUUUUUCUAUUUCGUUAUUAUUGGUAGUAAAUACAGUGAUUUAUAUGGCCACAACGUGAUUGUCUAAGUUCUUGAUUUAAAGAUGAACUUAGAAUGCUUAAGGUUUCAUUUUCAUGAUCCUAUGUUAAUGUUUUCACAUAUAGUAAAGCUAAAUUGCUUACGCCGGAGCCUUUGCAGUAUUUAUCGAGAAAACAUGGUAAUGAUCUUUAAUUUUUUAGUUUUUGUCCAUGCAACAAGUAAAUCUGGAUUAGUAAUUGACUUAGAAAUUUAGAAAUUUUCCAUCGACGUUCAUUUCCACUAAGCUAGAUGGAGUUAAAUAAAAUUUAGAAAUUUUCCAUCGACCUUCAUUUCCACUGAGCUAUAGAAUCUUGAACAUAGUAAUUGUCUACAAAAGGUUGAACUAUGACAUACAGUGAACCUAGUGGAGAAAAAAUACAAUUGUAGAUCCUGGCAGUUGACUGGCAUCCCCUGCCCUCAUACCAUCAGGGCACUAAAAUACGAGAAAGAGGAUCCAAUGACUGAAAUUAGUUGGUGGCACAGCAAGGAAGCUUACCUGAUGACAUAUAGGGCCAAGUUGAUACCUGUUAGAGGUGAAAAGUUCUGGAAAGUAUUACCAGAACAUGCUAUGGACCCUCCUCCAUGUGCCAAAACUGUUGGAAGGCCAAAAGUCAAAAGAAAUAGGGAGAAGGAUGAGGUUAACAAGAGACAAGGAGAAUGGGCUACAUCAAGAAGGGGAACUAGAAUGACAUGCAACAUUUGUGGUGAACUGGACCACAAACCCUUUUAUUUAGCAGUUGUUUCUUAAAUAUGUUUUGAUGGCUGGACAGUGUUGUUUUGUAGCAGCAGUAAACUAAAAUUUUGAUGCAGUGUUAUUUCUGUUAGCAGCAGUAAAUUAAUAUUACAUUAGUGCUGUUUGUUUUGAUAUUUUGCUGGACAAUGUUGUUUUGGUUUA